AAAUGCCUGCUCUUUCAGUAUCAUCUCUCCUAAGGGCAAAAAAUAAGUGCUGUGACCUCAGAGGACUUUUGGGAUGCCGCCUCCGGGAACCGGUGCCGUCUCAAGGAGGAGGAGAGACACCAUGAGACCACAGGAAGCUUCCAACACAGCCCCAGCUGACCUCCCAGACAGGACACCCCAUGUUUGCCGAGGGCUCUGGUGCUGAGCUGUGUCUUCUCUGAGGACAGUGCUGCUGACAAACAGGUUGGGUGCUGGGAAAGUCCUGUCUGAGUCGAGCCUGGCAGUCAGGUACACCGCCUCCAUGUUUCCCGAGCUUGAAGAAUGAACUCUAAGGAACAACGAAGGUUAAGAGGAGGAAAAGUGCUCUCGGUUCCCAGGGCUCUCGGUCCUCCAAGGCGGGUGCCUGCUCCAUGCAGCCUGGCUGGAGUCUGCACGUAGGGAGUGGAAGCCAGAAGCCCUUCUUGGACGUCUGCACCUCUUUCUCCUGGACCAUUUCCACUGCACUGGGGAAACUUCCACAGAACGGAGCACUGGUUCCUCUGUUCUAUUUCAGAAGCCAUGGCUUAUACUCUGCCCUCCAUGGAGCAGCUGGUUCUUUCUCAAGAGUCCUAAAGUGGAAGGAUUUAGCAUCAAAAUUCUAACCAAAACAGCACGUCAUUUCAGCAGCAGGAAGAAAAGCCUUGGAACAAUACCUAUAAAAUAAUUCUGAUUCUGUCAAAAUAAAAAUGU